CUUGUGGAGAAGAUGGCGGAAACCAAGUGAAGAGGAGAGAGAGAUGGAGGCUGAUGGGCCUUUAUUUAGUUAAUAGCGAUGAGAGUUUGGCGAUGACAAUCUUGGGGGGUCAUGUUCAAGACUGGCGUAGUCUCAUUAACCAACUUCAUGGCGGAUUUUGCCCCAAACGAGAUGCUUUGAGUAUUUGCAAAGUUCGGAGUCUAUUGUCAUUAUUUCUUCCAGUCUUGACAUCUCCAUCAGCCCGACUAAAGACUAUCCUCAGAGAGUUCAUCCAAAAAAAAAUUGGCAGCAGCCCAUCUAAGAUUUUAUUUGAGUGAUGUUUACUUUGCACUUCAGGUGGCUCAAUUGGCUUUUAAUCAGAUUUCGGGUGCGCUCGGAUCUGGGCCAUUGUGAGUCCAACCUUUGAAGAUUGCUGGUUACAUCUUCUCUUUGCGUGCAUUUGAGCAGGCUAGAUGACUCAAUGGUGUUCUAUUAUGUCUGGUGAACAUGUGUUUCAACUCCACGAGCGGAUUCAAACGAGAUGCUUUGAGUAUUUGCAAAGUUCGGAGUAUUAUGUACAAGAUUGGCGAAUUAACCAACUUCAUGGAAGAUUUUGCCCCAAACGAGAUGCUUUGAGUAUUUGCAAAGUUCGGAGUCUAUUGUCAUUA